GAUGAACGCUGGCGGCGUGCCUAAUACAUGCAAGUCGAGCGAACAGAUGAGGAGCUUGCUCCUCUGACGUUAGCGGCGGACGGGUGAGUAACACGUGGAUAACCUACCUAUAAGACUGGGAUAACUUCGGGAAACCGGAGCUAAUACCGGAUAAUAUAUUUAACCGCAUGGUUCAAUAGUGAAAGACGGUUUUGCUGUCACUUAUAGAUGGAUCCGCGCCGCAUUAGCUAGUUGGUAAGGUAACGGCUUACCAAGGCGACGAUGCGUAGCCGACCUGAGAGGGUGAUCAGCCACACUGGAACUGAGACACGGUCCAGACUCCUACGGGAGGCAGCAGUAGGGAAUCUUCCGCAAUGGGCGAAAGCUUGACGGAGCAACGCCGCGUGAGUGAUGAAGGUCUUCGGAUCGUAAAACUCUGUUAUUAGGGAAGAACAAAUGUGUAAGUAACUAUGCACGUCUUGACGGUACCUAAUCAGAAAGCCACGGCUAACUACGUG
rnacentral:rRNA from 1 species